GGUCAAGCUCAAAAGGGCGCAUGGUGGAUGCCUUGGCAUCAGCAGGCGAUGAAGGACGUAGCAAGCUGCGAUAAGCUCCGGGGAGCGGCAAACACGCAUUGAUCCGGAGAUGUCCGAAUGGGGAAACCCAUCCCGAGUCAUGUCGGGAUACUGGAGCUCGAAUAAAAUAGGGCUUCAGGGCAAUACCGGGGGAAGUGAAACAUCUCAGUACCCCGAGGAAAAGAAAGCGCAAGCGAUUCCCUGAGUAGUGGCGAGCGAAAGGGGAACAGCCCAAACCCCGCGGUUUACCGCGGGGGGUUGCGGGACUCCGAUAUGAGACCGGGACGGAUAGAGGAAGGUUCUGGAAAGAACCGCCAGAGAGGGUGACAGGCCCGUACUCGAAAUCCGAAACGGCUCUAGGAGUAUCCCAAGUAGAGCGGGACACGUGAAACCCUGCUUGAAUCCGGAAGGUCCACCUUCCAAGGCUAAAUACUUGCUGAUGACCGAUAGUGAACCAGUACCGUGAGGGAAAGGUGAAAAGAACCCUUUUUAAGGGAGUGAAAUAGUACCUGAAACCAUACGCUUACAAGCUGUGGUAGCCCUGCCCCGCCGCAAGGCGGGUGUCGGGGUGGCCGCUUGCCUUUUGCAUAAUGAGUCCGCGAGUUACGUUAUCCGGCGAGGUUAAGUCGCGACAGCGACGCAACCGUAGCGAAAGCGAGUGCGAAAUGCGCGUCUAGUCGGAUGCCGUAGACCCGAAGCCGUGUGAGCUACCCAUGGCCAGGAUGAAACGAGGGUAACACCUCGUGGAGGUCCGAACUAGUGGAUGUUGAAAAAUCCUUGGAUGAGCUGUGGGUUGGAGCGAAAGACUUACCAAACUCGGUGAUAGCUGGUUCUCCUCGAAAUAACUUUAGGGUUAGCCUGCGCGAUUGCUCGUGCCGGAGGUAGAGCACUGAAUGGACUAGGGUCCUUACCGGGAUUCCGACGCCAAUCAAACUCCGAAUACCGGCGCAGACACGCGUGGAGGUAGACAGCGGGGGAUAAGCUCCGUUGUCAAGAGGGAAAAAGCCCAGACCGCCGGCUAAGGCCCCCGAAGCAGGUUAAGUGCGUAAGGAUGUGAGAUUGCUAAGACAGCUAGGAUGUUGGCUUAGAGGCAGCCAUCAUUUAAACAGUGCGUAACAGCUGACUAGUCGAGUGAUCUCGCGCCGAAAAUGAUCGGGACUAAAACCUGCUGCCGAAGCCGCGGAUUGACGGCGCUCUUCGGAGCGCUGCCAGUGGUAGAGGAGCGUUGUGUGCGGAUUGAAGUCCGAGGGUAACCGGAGAUGGACUGCACACAAGUGAUUAUGCGGACAUGAGUAACGACAAGUCCGAUGAGAAUUCGGACCGCCGAAAUCCCAAGAUUUCCUGGGGAAGGUUCGUCCACCCAGGGUUAGUCGGUCCCUAACCCGAGGCCGAAAGGCGUAGGGGAUGGGUAACAGGUUUAAUAUUCCUGUACUACCGGCUUGGCGUUCGAGCGAUGGAGGGACGCAGGAAGCUAGGUUGGCCAUCGAUUGGAAGUGAUGGUCCAAGCCCGUAGGAGGUUCCGGUUGGCAAAUCCGCCGGGGCAACUCCGAAAGGUGACGGGACGUUCCCGCGCGAGCGGGGGCGGAUCAACCGAUGCUAGACUGCCAGGAAAGACCUUCUAGCGAGCCAGGCAGGUAACCGUAUCGCAAACCGACACAGGUGGGAGGGUAGAAAAUACCCAGGCGCGCGAGAGAAACCUCGUUAAGGAACUCGGCAAUCUAGCCCCGUAACUUCGGAAGAAGGGGUCCUCCAAGGGGUCAUCGUAACAGAGAAGCCCGCUGGAGGCGCAGUGAAAGAGCUCAGGCGACUGUUUAUCAAAAACACAGCACUCUGCUAACUCGCAAGAGGAUGUAUAGGGUGUGACACGUGACCAAUGCCGUAAGGUUAAGGUGAGAGGUUAGCCGCAAGGCGACGCUUUGAACUGAAGCCCCGGUGAAUGUCGGCCGUAACUAUAACGGUCCUAAGGUAGCGAAAUUCCUUGUCGGGUAAGUUCCGACCUGCACGAAUCGUGUAACGAUCUGAGCGCUGUCUCAACGAGGAUCUCGGUGAAAUUGUAAUUCCGGUGCAAAUGCCGGAUACCCGCAGUAGGACGGAAAGACCCUGUGAACCUUUACUGUAAUCUGAUAUUGGGUUUUGGUUGAUGAUGUGUAGCAUAGCUGGGAGGCUGCGAAGCUUGGGCGUCAGCUCAGGUGGAGCCAACAGUGAAAUACCAGUCUUUAUUAACCGGAAUUCUAACCGUGUCCCGUGAAACCGGGCGGGGGACAGUGUCAGAGGGUCAGUUUGACUGGGGCGGUUUCCUCCAAAAGAAUAACGGAGGAGCGCGAAGGUUCCCUCAGCACGGUCGGCAAUCGUGCGUAGAGCGUAUAAGUAGAAGGGAGCUUAACUGCGAGACUAACAAGUCGAGCAGGUGCGAAAGCAGGCUUAAGUGAUCCGGUGGUUGCAAGUGGUAGCGCCAUCGCUCAACGGACAAAAGGUACUCCGGGGAUAACAGGCUGAUCGCCGCCAAGAGUCCAUAUCGACGCGGCGGUUUGGCACCUCGAUGUCGGCUCAUCGCAUCCUGGGGCUGUAGAAGGUCCCAAGGGUUUGGCUGUUCGCCAAUUAAAGCGGUACGCGAGCUGGGUUCAGAACGUCGUGAGACAGUUCGGUCUUUAUCCACUGUGGGCGCAUGACAUUUGAGGAGAACAUUCCUUAGUACGAGAGGACCGGGAAUGACGCACCGCUGGUGUUCCGGUUGUCCCGCCAGGGGCAUCGCCGGGUAGCUAUGUGCGGAAUGGAUAAGCGCUGAAAGCAUCUAAGCGCCAAGCCGUCUCCAAGAUAAGAUGUCAAUUUCCGGGGGCGCAAGUCUCCGGGAUAUAGGCCGGUUGAAGACCACGACCUUGAUAGGCUGGGUGUGUACGCUCCGCGAGGAGUUGAGCUAACCAGUCCUAAUCAGCCUAUUAGCUUGACCAU
rnacentral:rRNA from 1 species